rnacentral:rRNA from 1 species
AUGAACGCUAGCGGCAGGCCUAAUACAUGCAAGUCGAGGGGGUAACAUGACGCUUCGGUGUUGAUGACGACCGGCGCACGGGUGCGUAACGCGUAUGCAAUCUACCUACAGCAGAGGGAUAGCCCGUGGAAACAUGGAUUAAUACCUCAUAAUACAGGGGGCCCACCUGGGCAUAUUGUUAAAGAUUUAUCGGCUGUAGAUGAGCAUGCGUCCCAUUAGCUAGUUGGUACGGUAACGGCGUACCAAGGCGAUGAUGGGUAGGGGUUCUGAGAGGAUGAUCCCCACACUGGUACUGAGAUACGGACCAGACUCCUACGGGAGGCAGCAGUAGGGAAUAUUGGUCAAUGGACGAAAGUCUGAACCAGCCAUGCCGCGUGCAGGAAGACGGCCUUCUGGGUUGUAAACUGCUUUUCUCAGGGAAGAAAAAGGUCUUGCGAGACAAAUUGCCGGUACCUGAGGAAUAAGCACCGGCUAACUCCGUG